ACAAAUACUAAAACAUAUUAAUUAUAGACUCUACUAUUCUCUUUGAUAUUGUAGCACAAACGUUAAUAAUUACUACAUUAUGAUAUCAUAAUUCCAAUUGAAUAUUAUUUCCUAUUAUUAUCUCACAGAUACUAUAACACAUAUCAAUUUCAUUUAAUAUUGUUUAUAUUUAUCAAUGCUGCAAAACUGUAUUAAAUUCGUUAUUUAGUCAUUUAAAUCAAAAUACAAUUUCAAGAUGAUGAGAUAGCAUUGCCAACUUAUCGGUUACUUUGCAAUGAUGAUGAGAUAUCAAUCAAACCAAUGCAGCCACUUUAACGCUUAUUAUUUUCUUAAAAAAUUAUUAAAUAAGGAUUAAAGCAAUUGAAAGAAAAAAAAGAGAGAAACAUAACAACAGUAACUCUUCAUCACCCAAACUCUAUCUCUUCCUCUCGUUGAUUUCUCUUUGCCCUUGUCAGAGAAAGGCGGUCGGCGGCGCCAUCGUCCCCUAUGGUGAUUCCCUACCUCAAAACUUUACUUUCCCAAAAUAAACCCCCCUUAUAUUUUCAUGUUUGUUAUGAAUUUGAACUCCAUUUUAUCAAAAUCUCAACCUAAAAGGAGAUCGUCCCUCUCAGAAAUCACAACACAAUUAAAAGAAAAAGCAACUAACAACAACAUUCAAAAGACAAGCUUACGGAUUUCGACACGUAAAAGGGAUUGAAGAUAAAACAACAAAGAUUAACGAAGGAGUAAAGAAAUACCUAGAUUCAGCAAUAAGACAAAAACCUGUCCAAACCAAAGAGAGCAGAGUUCUGGUUGUGUAGAGGAAAAAAAAGACAAACAAGCUCUUAGUCAUUGUGUAACUAAUACACUUGAAGAGCCCCUUUGAUUUUGUAAUGGUUACUACAAAAAAAUGUAAAUUAUGUGUAAUAGAGGCUUUGUGGUGUAAUAUAAAUCCCUAUCUUUUUUUUAAA